rnacentral:rRNA from 1 species
GUGAGGAAUCUUCCACAAUGGGCGAAAGCCUGAUGGAGCAACGCCGCGUGAAGGAUGAAGGUCUUCGGAUUGUAAACUUCUUUUAUGAGUGAAGAAUAUGACGGUAACUCAUGAAUAAGCACCGGCUAACUACGUGCCAGCAGCCGCGGUCAUACGUAGGGUGCAAGCAUUAUCCGGAGUGACUGGGCGUAAAGAGUUGCGUAGGCGGUUAUGUAAGCGAAUAGUGAAACCUGGUGGCUCAACCACACAGACUAUUAUUCGAACUGCAUAACUCGAGAAUGGUAGAGGUAACUGGAAUUUCUUGUGUAGGAGUGAAAUCCGUAGAUAUAAGAAGGAACACCAAUGGCGUAGGCAGGUUACUGGGCCAUUUCUGACGCUAAGGCACGAAAGCGUGGGGAGCGAACCGGAUUAGAAACCCGGGUAGUCC